AGAAAGAUGUAUAGAGAAGGACAGUGGAAAAUAUAUACUCAAGACCGUUGGAUCAUACAUUUAGCGUUCUCUGAGAUUAUAUCUGAGUUCUAAUUUCUGCAGACGUCAUAUUGUAACCGUAACGCCAAAGAGCGAGGUUUUCAUUUAUUUCUUUGUCUUGGCGCUAAUGACGUAAUUUAAUUUUAAGGAUAUCUGCUUGAAGGUUUUGAACAUUCUAAGGCUUUAAUGGCCGAUUGUACGAUUCCAAUAACCAAAAACAGGAAUGCAAAAUAGUAUGAGAACUGAUAAAUCUCAUUUUCUCUUUCUCUUUUUAAUUUCACUGCAGUUUAAGAGCUUUAAAACAGUAUUGUGCUUUGACAGAGGACUCAGAGAAGCAGUUUGUGCUCAAAAACUAAUAUAAGUGCUACAUUCUUCGCUCUACCCAACAGUUCCAUUCUGCUACCUACCAAACCUAUCUUACCAAAAAUAAAUCCAAAAAUAAGUUUUCAGGAUUAUAUUUCACACACACACACCUCCAUUCAGACUUAAAAUAAUAUGAGAUUUGCGACACUCCUUAACGGCUGUAAAAUGUAGUCGAGCAGAAGUAGCGCAGCCUCUCAAGGAUAACGCCUUCAAUAUGACAGUUGCGCCGGCCGAAGUUGAGUGAAGGCAUCAAAGUGAGAAGUUUAUGAAAUAUGCGAAAUGAAAGCCUCACACUUGCACACGCGGUCUCUGGCAGUCAAAUAUUGUGGUUAAGCGCGAGCAAAUCUACGUCCGUUUUGGUGUGUAUGUCAGUGCGUGUGUAGCAGACUCUCCUUUUAUGGAAGCAAGGCAAGCGUAAAACUACCCAUAAACCCGGCGAAAUCUUUAUGAUUUUCAAUGCUUGAAUGCUUCCAAAGCAUCAAACGUCAAAGAUGUUGGGCGUAAGAGUUUCUCAGCGCUGUAAGAUAAUACGAAAAGUACUUGCUAUUUGACGCAGCCAGCAACUUGUGUUGCCCAAGCUGGUUACCAAACCGUAAAUGGGGAAAAGUUGAGUGAAAGCUGAAGACUGAAUGCCGAAUACUUCAAGUGGUUUUGGAAAUAGUAAUGGGAAAUGGGACUAAACUGUUGACGUCUAGAAAGUUUAUAGAAAUGUGGGAAAAGAUAGCUAUAAUAUGAGUAUGACCAAACACACAUACAUACAUUUUACGUUUUUU